CACCAGAUGAAUGAAAUGGUGCAGUAAAGAAACCAAAAUAGCGGCUCCAUGGGUAAAAGGUAAAGUUUAUUCCAAAUCACCAAGGCUGUCUCUUUGGAAAAUGGGAGUGGGGAGCUGAGGGGAUUAAUGGAUGGGAUUUCCAGGGUUUUAAGGGAACAAGUACCUGGAAGGAGGGGGACCUGUAAACUGGAGUGAAGGAUCUUGAAGUGUAUAAAGGGUACUUGUGAUUAAGGAUUGAAGGAACUUAGAAGCUAGCACAGACCUUGAUAGGCUAAUAGGCACCACAAGAAUAUGUUCAUGGAAGAGUCAGGGGUCCCUUUUGCCAGAGAUAAGAAUGCUUCCUUUAGCAUUCUUAUAGGGACCAUUAGCAUAUAGGGACUAUUUUUCUCAAGUCCCUGAGGGGAUGUUGGCUUUGUCUAAAUGUCAGACACUGGGGAAAGGGAUUUCUUGGAACUAGACAGCAGCAAGCACCUUUAUCUGCUGAGCCAUUUCCCUGGCCCCUUGUGGCUUUUAAGGUAAGAGACAUGUUAAAUCAGGAUUGAGCAAAGCACUUGACAAAGUUCCCACGAUAACCUUAUUGAGGAAAGCCUUAGCUGGUUCAGGGUUUGGGUGCAGGUGGCUUAUAUAGGUAUUCCUGCAGGAGGCAGGUAUUGAGGUAUGUUCAGUUACCAUAGAAACAGCCAAGAGUCUAUCCUGCUGGAACCCUGAGACACUUACAGAAACAACCCUGAGUACUUCUACUAAAGUGUGACAAAUCUGAGAAACUAAUUCCUUGCUAUGUCCAACCUGCUAUAAAUGAGGAUCAAGUUUUCCCUCUAGUCAGAAUGCAUGCAGAUACAGUCAGGAAGCUACAUGUUGACACUGACUAAGCAAAUCUAAGGGGAGAUGAAGUGACUCUAAAUGGGUUUAUUUUUUAGUUUAAGUGCUUGGGAAUUAGUAGCAGUAGUUUUACAAUGUUGUAUAUAUACUACAUUCAUAUACUAUGAAUCAGACAUUUCAAGGGGUUGGUUUGAUGUGUGAAUUAUGUUUCAAAGUACAUUUGUGUAAAAGGGGUGGUAUGUUAAAGCAACCAGUAAGCAUCUCCUAUAUACCCCAUUCAUUCAGCCUCAGUUGUCCUUUCAUGUGUUAGACUCUUCUGCCUGAGGACAGUGACUGAUAGUCUUUUUUUUAAACAAUAAAAUAGACAAAAGAAAAAUUACCAACAACUAGAAGGUUAGCAGGACAAGCUAUAUUCUUUACUGUUGGAAACUGUACUGAAGCCACGGGGGAUUUUUUUUAUCUUCCCUCCUUUUCUAUUUAUUCUAGAUUUCCCCUUCAACUAGCCCUUCCGUUGGUCAGCCCUGCUCACCUUGUCCCCAUACAUCACCAAGCAUUCCUCUGAAUACUUCUUGCCCCUAACAUAGCACUAGUCCCAGCUCUGCAUGAUACUUGAGUUGUCACCUUCUUCCGGUGUGGCCACUCCUCUCCUGGGCUGCUUGUUCAGUGACUUGAAGAGUCCAGAGCAGGAGAGCAGCAGCUAUUGAAUUAAGUGGAAUCACAGGGAACCAGGAACACUACUCUCCAUACUGAUUUGGAGGGUUUCCUCUGUGUGUCCCUGGCUGCCCUGUACCACACUUUGUAGACUCAGCUGGCCUCAAACUCUCAGAGAUCCACUUGCCUCUGCCUCCUGAGUACUGACUGGGACUAAAGGCAUGCAUCACCACGGACUGGCUAAAGGUUUCAUUUAUUUUUUAAAGACGGGGUCUUGCUAUGUAGCCCUAACUGGCCUUGAAAUCUUGAUCUUAGUGCCUUGUUUCCUGGGUGCUUUUAUUUUUUAUGUUAAACUACCCCAUUUUUCAUAGUUCUCUCAGCAGUGGCAGUGGGCGGAUGCUGUAGGAGAGUGGCUCUUACAGGCAAGUGUUAAUGUUGCUGAUCUUAGACUGGGCAGGAUGCCUUCUGAUUCUCCCAGAACACAGGAGUAUGGGAAGCCAUCUGAAGCCAUCUCCCACUCACACCCUUCUCCCUUGGGACGCUUACUGCGAGCUCAGAAUAGAUUGACAUGCAUAGUACAAAAAUAAUUACUGGGGGUCUAGACUUGACUUUCCAAUAAUAGUGUCUCACAACUCUUGUUGCUGUUAUCCUGCC
ensembl:lncRNA